UAUCUCUGUAGAGUCUGCAUAUCAAUAAGCGGAGGAAAAGAAACUAACAUAGGAUUCCCUUAGUAACGGCGAGUGAAGCGGGAAGAGCUCAAAUUUGAAAUCUUCAAGGUUCUUACCUUGACGAAUUGUAGUUUAAAGAAGGUGUUUUCUGUUGAAGUUUUGGUAAAAGUUCUUUGGAAUAGGACAUCAUAGAGGGUGAGAAUCCCGUAUUUGACCAUUAUCUUCCAGCUGUGUGAUACACUUUCAAAGAGUCGGAUUGUUUGGGAAUGCAGUCCAAAAUGGGUGGUAAAUUUCAUCUAAAGCUAAAUAUUGGCGAGAGACCGAUAGCGAACAAGUACCGUGAGGGAAAGAUGAAAAGGAACUUUGAAAAGAGAGUUAAACAGUACGUGAAAUUGUCAAAAGGGAAGCGUUUGACACCAGUGUUGUUUUCUCGAAAAUCAAUUAAAAAUGAGCCUGGAUUUUGUGUUGUAUUGACCUUAUACAUCAGCUUUCUUCACUCUUUUUCCUUGUCUUUUUUAAUGCACUUUUCGUUUAACAAGUCAACAUCAGUCUCUUUUGUUGUAAAAGAGUCAUUGGAAGGUGGCUUUCUUUUCGGAGAAAGUGUUUAUAGCCUUUGAUCUUCUGCAAUCGGAGAGAUUGAGGUCUGCAGCGUAGAUCCUUCGGGGUUAGAUACAUUUGUGCUAAGCUAUAGCCUUUCAUAGACAACUUGUUGACUAUGAUCAGUCAUGUAGCUUACUCGCUUAUGUCUAUUUUACCUACGCUUAGGAUGUUGAACGCGCACAGAGUCUC
rnacentral:rRNA from 1 species